rnacentral:lncRNA from 1 species
AGAGAAUGCUAAUGAGCUGUGAAAUGACCAAAGAUCUGGCAGCAGAAGGGAAAAGAAAAAAUAAUGGGAACAAGAGGAUUUAUCUGACUCAACUGGAGAUGGCUCCCUUCCCUAAUUUAUUGUUGCAUCCUGAAGCUUCCCCCAUGCUGGGCUCAGUGUGAACAAACAGCGCGGGAGAAUGCAACCACUGCAGAGGAAUUAAAUUGAGUUCAAGCAGCUUGGAACAGCUUGAUGGCUUCUUUCUGCCACAGAAGGUGCCAGGUGUCCUGCAUCUAGACUCUGACAGCCUAUUGAUUGGUUGGAAAGAACCCAAGGGGACAUGGGCACAGCAUCCCUUCCUGGGCCUCUUCCUCAGGUGGUGCGGGUGGGAAAUCAGGAAGCUCCCAGACAUGGAGCAACUCAGGUGAUCAUGGAACAGAGAGAAGAGGGGCUUGAGCAGAGAGAAUGCUUAGAGGCUAAGCGAUGGGCAAGUGAGAGGGAAAGAGCCGCGACAGACAGAGCUGGCUGCCUAGGGGUCUCAGAGGCUUCAUCCUGCAGGCGGCAGGCGGCAGGACAAAGGGACCUUCGCACUCGAGAUCAAGAUUCCAAGGAGUUAAACGCUACCACGCAGCCCGACCUGGAUGGGAUUUGCUCCUGGGUACAAAACGGGACACUGAUCAAAAUCAACUUGGACAAGUGACAAGAGUGAGUCUUAUGUCGGUGGAUGUCUUUUAAGGUCGUUGGAGGGAAGAGGACGGGAGGGGUGUGCCGAGGGGUAGGUGGAGAGAGGCACCGAGUCCAGAGCCGGGAUAUAAAUGCACCAGGAGCCGGGGAGCAGAGGAGCAAAUGAGUGGGGGAAAGAGUGAGAGGAAGAGUUGGAGAAAAGUCGGGGGAAAGUAGGGACAGGGUUAAGGGGAGAGAGGAGGAUGAGGGCGGCGAGGAGAGAUUAAAAGGGGAAGGGGGGUCGCUGGAGAGGAGGGCGGACUGUGGAUCGGAGGUAGGGAGAGGGGCGAGGGGAGUGCGCGGGGUGGGGGGCGCCGGGGCGAGGAG